UCCCAUUACACGCCUGCACGGAAGAAGAAAAGGACAUUAAAAAAACAACAACACAAAAAACAGAAGUGAUGCUCUGACUCGGAAAAUGGACGCUGCUCACCGAUGACGUGAAGGUUUCUGAUCGGUCUGGAGUUUUGGAAUCACCUGAUCUUUGGAUUAUGACUUUGAGUCGAGUGAUGCCCACUUCCCUCAGGACUACAUCACGGUCAACUGCUGUUUUCUAAUACUGGAGGACAUUGGUCAAAUACAUAGAUUCAAACGCUAGUCAUCUCCGACAACCUCACAGUGGACACCGUCAGUUCUUAAGACUGAUAACGGAAACGAACUGUUUUCAGAAACAAUGAAACAUCCUCAAAAAGACAAACUGACAUUCAGCCAACGUAAGACUGAAACUGUGAGAGUGAAGGAAGGAAAGAUGGACUGUCUUUUUGAUUGUUUGUUUGUUCAGAAAACUUGUGUACUGGAUGUUCAUGUAGGUGAUGUAGAUCAUUUCUCUCAAACACACUAUAACUGACAUUAAUGCAGAUUUGCGGUUAAUUUCAAAAAGGUGGGGGAAAGGUUAGAUAAUGACUAAAGUAGUAAAAAAGUAGAUGUGAUGUUUGGAAUGAUUAAUUCAACAAUUAGAUCUCCUUAGAUUAGAAAUGUGUAUAUAUAUUUAAUUUUUUCAAUUUGUCAUUUCUUCUUACAAAUAUUUUGCGUCUUAUUUGUUUGUAAUUAUUUUAGCUGGUAGAAAAAAAAAGCAUAUUUGUCUCUUGUAAAAUGUGUUUGACAAUCGGUAUGACUGAUAUUACUUGAAACAUUUGAAACAUUUUUUUCUGGUACAAAGUCAAGUUGAUGCAUCAAUUAUACAUUUUACAGUGUGUGUGUGUGUGUGUUUGUUUUUAGAAAUUAUUGCACUGGUGAUAAAUGAGGUUCUUAUGUGGUCAAAUGGUUGUUGGAUUAACUGCAUUACACUUGCCAGUUUUUUAUAUUUCACAGCAAACUUUCAGUCUUUAUCAUGUUAUAUUCCAUUUAUAGUAGAGAGCAACCACCACAGCAGGAAAUAUGUCAAAUUCAAAACAAAUUUUUAUCUUAUUUUAUCUAUGCAAAAGAAAAUUAGAAGAAGGCGUUCAGUUUGCACUAUUUGUAUGUGUUUGCACAUUAACAGUAUGAGUGGUCUGAGAUAAAUGUGGUAAAUUGUGAUGUUUUACUAAUGUGCAAUAUGAGCACAGGUGCAAUGUAGAUUAUGGAAAUGUAUAUUUAGCUGGUUAUCUAUGCCAGCAGAAAUGUGUUCUUUUCAUUGAUUUAAUCAGUAACUGCACUAAGUCUCUGGAUUUAUUCGACACUCCAUUUGUCAAAUUGGCUCCUCUGAUAAUACAACUACAGAAAUGCAUUUGAUCAAAUUUGGAGAACUUGGAGAUGUGCAAUAUAUUACAUAUGACGUUUGAAUACAUAUUUUGAGGGAAUGGUAUUUGCAUUAUUAUGCACUGUGAAUUACUGUUUCAGGACUUAUAUGCUUGAUUUGCACAAGUUACUGUGUCUGUACUAUACAACUGUUUCUAUUGCAGUUAAUAUAAUCAAUAAAAGUAUUGUUUACAAUGAGACAAUAA